UGGAUUAGUGGCGAACGGGUGAGUAACACGUGGGCAAUCUGCCCUUCACUCUGGGACAAGCCCUGGAAACGGGGUCUAAUACCGGAUAACACUCUGUCCCGCAUGGGACGGGGUUAAAAGCUCCGGCGGUGAAGGAUGAGCCCGCGGCCUAUCAGCUUGUUGGUGGGGUAAUGGCCUACCAAGGCGACGACGGGUAGCCGGCCUGAGAGGGCGACCGGCCACACUGGGACUGAGACACGGCCCAGACUCCUACGGGAGGCAGCAGUGGGGAAUAUUGCACAAUGGGCGAAAGCCUGAUGCAGCGACGCCGCGUGAGGGAUGACGGCCUUCGGGUUGUAAACCUCUUUCAGCAGGGAAGAAGCGAAAGUGACGGUACCUGCAGAAGAAGCGCCGGCUAACUACGUGCCAGCAGCCGCGGUAAUACGUAGGGCGCAAGCGUUGUCCGGAAUUAUUGGGCGUAAAGAGCUCGUAGGCGGCUUGUCACGUCGGAUGUGAAAGCCCGGGGCUUAACCCCGGGUCUGCAUUCGAUACGGGCUAGCUAGAGUGUGGUAGGGGAGAUCGGAAUUCCUGGUGUAGCGGUGAAAUGCGCAGAUAUCAGGAGGAACACCGGUGGCGAAGGCGGAUCUCUGGGCCAUUACUGACGCUGAGGAGCGAAAGCGUGGGGAGCGAACAGGAUUAGAUACCCUGGUAGUCCACGCCGUANACGUUGGGAACUAGGUGUUGGCGACAUUCCACGUCGUCGGUGCCGCAGCUAACGCAUUAAGUUCCCCGCCUGGGGAGUACGGCCG
rnacentral:rRNA from 1 species